rnacentral:tRNA from 1 species
GAUUGCUGCGGCUCAGUGGCUCAGCCUCUGCUUGGCACGCGGAAGGGCCCCGGUUCAAUCCCCAGCAGCAUCU